rnacentral:misc_RNA from 1 species
GAUGAAGAACGUAGCGAAACGCGAUAGUUAAUGUGAAUUGCAGAAUUCAGUGAAUCAUCGAGUCUUGAACGCACAUUGCGCCCAUUGGUAUUCCGUUGGGCAUGUCUGUUUGAGCGUCAUUACAACAGUUCAGCGUAAGCUGGUUAUGAGUUCUGUUUUUUUAAACAAAAAACAGGCUUUAAAAUGUAUGUUCUGCAGGUCGCUUUGCUAAACCCUAAACAUUAAAUACUGUUCUAGUGAAGCAUUUGCGACUCUGCCUGAAAAAAAACUUUUGUUAAAGUUUGACCUCAGAUCAGACAAGGAUACCCGCUGAACUUAAGCAUAUCAAUAAGCGGAGGA